rnacentral:rRNA from 1 species
AACAUGUCUUUAAGAAUAUAAUUUUAAGUCUGAUCUGCUCCAUGAAUAUUUAAAUAGCUGCAGAAUUUUAACUGUACAAAGGUAGCAUAAUCAAUAGUUUUUUAAUUGAAAGCUGGAAUGAACGAUUUGAUAAGGUAAAUUUUGUCUCAAUUUUAAUAGAAUUAAAAUUUUUUUUUUAGUAAAAAUACUGAAGAAAAUUUAAAAGACGAGAAGACCCUAUAGAUUUUAAUAUUUAGUAUUAAAUAAAUUUAAAAUUAAUAAUAAAUUUUAAUAUAAAAAUAUUUGGUUGGGGAAAUUAUUAAAUUAAGAAAAUUUUAAAUUAUUAUAACCAAAAAUUAUUGAAUUUUUGAUCUUAUUGAUAUUAAUAAAUUAAAAGAAUAAAAUACCUUAGGGAUAACAGCGUAAUAUUUUUGGAGAGAUCUAAUUGAUAAAAAAGAUUGCGACCUCGAUGUUGAAUUAAGAUAAAAUUUUAAUGGAGAAGUUAAAAAUUUUUGGUCUGUUCGACCAUUAAAAUCUUACGUGAUCUG